rnacentral:rRNA from 1 species
GACGAACGCUGGCGGUGUGCUUAACACAUGCAAGUGGUGCGACGAACCAGAGCUUGCUCUGGGGCAAAGCCGCGAACGGGUGAGUAACACGUGGGUAAUCUACCCCGAUGACCGGGACAACCCGAGGAAACUCGGGCUAAUACCGGAUGUGGUACGGAGACAUAAGUCUCUUUACUAAAGGUAGCUUCGGCUUCCGCAUUGGGAGGGGCCCGCGGCCCAUUAGCUAGUUGGUGGGGUCAAGGCCUACCAAGGCAACGAUGGGUAGCUGGUCUGAGAGGACGAUCAGCCACACUGGGACUGAGACACGGCCCAGACUCCUACGGGAGGCAGCAGUGGGGAAUCUUGCGCAAUGCGCGAAAGCGUGACGCAGCAACACCGCGUGAGGGAAGACGGCCUUAGGGUUGUAAACCUCUUUCAGAUGGGACGAAGGUGAUGCGGUGAAUAGCCGAUGUCAUUGACGGUACCGUCAGAAGAAGCUCCGGCUAACUACGUGCCAGCAGCCGCGGUAA